AUACAGAGGGUGCAAGCGUUAAUCGGAAUUACUGGGCGUAAAGCGCGCGUAGGCGGUUUAAUCAGUCGGAUGUGAAAGCCCCGGGCUCAACCUGGGAACUGCAUUCGAUACUGUUAAGCUAGAGUAUGGUAGAGGGAAGUGGAAUUCCAGGUGUAGCGGUGAAAUGCGUAGAUAUCUGGAGGAACAUCAGUGGCGAAGGCGACUUCCUGGACCAAUUCUGACGCUGAGGUGCGAAAGCGUGGGGAGCAAACAGGAUUAGAAACCCUAGUAGUCC
rnacentral:rRNA from 1 species